rnacentral:rRNA from 1 species
CAACCUGCCUUUCAGAGGGGAGUAACAUUUGGAAACAGAUGCUAAUACCGCAUAAGAUUACAGUACCGCAUGAUACAGUGAUCAAAGGAGCAAUCCGCUGAAAGAUGGGCUCGCGUCCGAUUAGAUAGUUGGUGAGGUAACGGCUCACCAAGUCGACGAUCGGUAGCCGGACUGAGAGGUUGAACGGCCACAUUGGGACUGAGACACGGCCCAG